rnacentral:rRNA from 1 species
GAUGAACGCUGGCGGCAGGCUUAACACAUGCAAGUCGAACGCAUCGCAAGAUGAGUGGCAGACGGGUGAGUAACGCGUGGGAAUCUACCUGACCCUACGGAACAACUCCGGGAAACUGGAGCUAAUACCGUAUACGCCCUUAGGGGGAAAGAUUUAUCGGGGACAGAUGAGCCCGCGUUGGAUUAGCUAGUUGGUGGGGUAAAGGCCUACCAAGGCGACGAUCCAUAGCUGGUCUGAGAGGAUGAUCAGCCACAUUGGGACUGAGACACGGCCCAAACUCCUACGGGAGGCAGCAGUGGGGAAUAUUGGACAAUGGGCGCAAGCCUGAUCCAGCCAUGCCGCGUGAAUGAUGAAGGCCUUAGGGUUGUAAAGUUCUUUCAGGUGGGAAGAUAAUGACGGUACCACCAGAAGAAGCCCCGGCUAACUUCGUGCCAGCCGCCGCGGUAA